GCUUGCUCCCUGGGUGACGAGCGGCGGACGGGUGAGUAAUGUCUGGGAAACUGCCUGAUGGAGGGGGAUAACUACUGGAAACGGUAGCUAAUACCGCAUAACGUCGCAAGACCAAAGAGGGGGACCUUCGGGCCUCUUGCCAUCAGAUGUGCCCAGAUGGGAUUAGCUAGUAGGUGGGGUAAUGGCUCACCUAGGCGACGAUCCCUAGCUGGUCUGAGAGGAUGACCAGCCACACUGGAACUGAGACACGGUCCAGACUCCUACGGGAGGCAGCAGUGGGGAAUAUUGCACAAUGGGCGCAAGCCUGAUGCAGCCAUGCCGCGUGUGUGAAGAAGGCCUUCGGGUUGUAAAGCACUUUCAGCGAGGAGGAAGGUGGUGAGCUUAAUACGCUCAUCAAUUGACGUUACUCGCAGAAGAAGCACCGGCUAACUCCGUGCCAGCAGCCGCGGUAAUACGGAGGGUGCAAGCGUUAAUCGGAAUUACUGGGCGUAAAGCGCACGCAGGCGGUUUGUUAAGUCAGAUGUGAAAUCCCCGGGCUCAACCUGGGAACUGCAUUUGAAACUGGCAAGCUAGAGUCUCGUAGAGGGGGGUAGAAUUCCAGGUGUAGCGGUGAAAUGCGUAGAGAUCUGGAGGAAUACCGGUGGCGAAGGCGGCCCCCUGGACGAAGACUGACGCUCAGGUGCGAAAGCGUGGGGAGCAAACAGGAUUAAAUACCCUGGGAGUCCACGCUGUAAACGAUGUCGAUUUGGAGGUUGUGCCCUUGAGGCGUGGCUUCCGGAGCUAACGCGUUAAAUCGACCGCCUGGGGAGUACGGCCGCAAGGUUAAAACUCAAAUGAAUUGACGGGGGCCCGCACAAGCGGUGGAGCAUGUGGUUUAAUUCGAUGCAACGCGAAGAACCUUACCUACUCUUGACAUCCAGAGAACUUUCCAGAGAUGGAUUGGUGCCUUCGGGAACUCUGAGACAGGUGCUGCAUGGCUGUCGUCAGCUCGUGUUGUGAAAUGUUGGGUUAAGUCCCGCAACGAGCGCAACCCUUAUCCUUUGUUGCCAGCGGUUCGGCCGGGAACUCAAAGGAGACUGCCAGUGAUAAACUGGAGGAAGGUGGGGAUGACGUCAAGUCAUCAUGGCCCUUACGAGUAGGGCUACACACGUGCUACAAUGGCGUAUACAAAGAGAAGCGACCUCGCGAGAGCAAGCGGACCUCAUAAAGUACGUCGUAGUCCGGAUUGGAGUCUGCAACUCGACUCCAUGAAGUCGGAAUCGCUAGUAAUCGUAGAUCAGAAUGCUACGGUGAAUACGUUCCCGGGCCUUGUACACACCGCCCGUCACACCAUGGGAGUGGGUUGCAAAAGAAGUAGGUAGCUUAACCUUCGGGAGGGCGCUUACCACUUUGUGAUUCAUGACUGGGGUGAAG
rnacentral:rRNA from 1 species